GGGGAAUAUUGGACAAUGGGCGAAAGCCUGAUCCAGCAAUGCCGCGUGAGUGAUGAAGGCCUUAGGGUUGUAAAGCUCUUUUACCCGGGAAGAUAAUGACUGUACCGGGAGAAUAAGCCCCGGCUAACUCCGUGCCAGCAGCCGCGGUAAUACGGAGGGGGCUAGCGUUGUUCGGAAUUACUGGGCGUAAAGCGCACGUAGGCGGCUUUGUAAGUUAGAGGUGAAAGCCCGGGGCUCAACCCCGGAAUUGCCUUUAAGACUGCAUCGCUUGAACGUCGGAGAGGUGAGUGGAAUUCCGAGUGUAGAGGUGAAAUUCGUAGAUAUUCGGAAGAACACCAGUGGCGAAGGCGGCUCACUGGACGACUGUUGACGCUGAGGUGCGAAAGCGUGGGGAGCAAAC
rnacentral:rRNA from 1 species